UAUGUCAACAAGAUGACAGAA
rnacentral:piRNA from 1 species